GCUCCCGUAGUCUAGCUUGGAUAGAACAGGGCCCUGCGGAGGCUCAGACCGGGGUUCAAAUCCCCGCGGGGGCG
rnacentral:tRNA from 1 species